UCAAACUUGGUCAUUUAGAGGAAGUAAAAGUCGUAACAAGGUUUCCGUAGGUGAACCUGCGGAAGGAUCAUUAUUGAAUAAUAUAACUCGAUGGGUUGUAGCUGGCCUCUUGAGGCAUGUGCACACCUGUCUUGAUUCUAUUCAUCCACCUGUGCACCUCUUGUAGUUCCUUCACUCUCUGGAUUUGAGGAUUGCUUCACAGCUUUCUUCUCCUUGGUCUUGUGCCUUAUCAGAGAGGAAGAGACUAUGUUUCAUAAACCAUGUAGUAUGUUGCCAGAAUGUAUUCAAUGGGCCUUUGUGCCUAUAUAAAUCUAUACAACUUUCAGCAACGGAUCUCUUGGCUCUCGCAUCGAUGAAGAACGCAGC
rnacentral:misc_RNA from 1 species